UCUAAGCUAUUAUCUAUUUAUAGAUACACAUCUACAUGCACAUACAUAAUUAUGGACAGUUCUUUCUUUAAUGUUUCUGUUGCUUCAACCAGACUGCAUUACCAGCAUGCGUCAUUAGUGGGCAAAUACAUAGUGAUGAAGCGUUUCCUUUCCCAUGUGCAGUGUUUUUCAUGUUGCAGAAAAUUGAAAUAAAACCAGAGCAUCAGCCUUGUAAAUGGAAGCGCUCCCCGUGAGCGGGGGCGGACUUUCCCACUGCGGAUGCUCAGUGUCUGGAAUCCCUAACCCUACGCCGCCAAGCAAGCUCAAGUUGAGAGCCCCCCGCCGACCAAGAGAGAGCCUGACAAAGGAAUAGCGACCGUUAAUCGCUGUUCCGUGUCCACUCCGACCUCCCAGUUCGCUUCAUGAUUCCUCCUCCGGCCACCUGCCGCCAAGCACUCGGACCAGAUCACUCUGGCAACUGGUGAAUGCCCUCUGCUCAGAUAAGAGGACUGUGUUUCCCCUGCGCUCUCUCUACGGGGCUGCUUCACAAACAGCGGGCGGCUGGGAAUGGGCCUGCUUGCAGCGCUGAGCUGGCCGGAUCCGCUGGGCCCCCCUCGCCCCUACAGCCACAGGGCUCAGGAAUAGGGCGCUAAGGCCUUGGCGUUGCUCACACUGAAGACGCGGCCCCGGGACGAGCUGGGGAACAGAUCGUGCUACCUGUCUGAGUCACAGUGAGGACGGGGCCGCUUCCGUUUAAUAACUUACAUUCCCCCAGGCCUGCGACAAUGUCCCAGAGAUGGUGGGGCUUUUCUCCCUCGGGCCCAGGAACUAUCUUCACUCCGGCUGUCUGGGCAGGCACGUCCACCUACAAGAGAACGACGGAACACUGAGCCAUAGAGAAGAGCUUUCCUAGCGGCUUCCUCCACCAUCUUGUCUUUCUCUUCCUGUAAGAUGGCUUCCCCGUGGCACCACCCCAUACUCCGAGGGUUCCGCUGCAGCGUGAGCCCGUGCUCAACAAAGAAACAUUGGGAUUUGGA